rnacentral:rRNA from 1 species
GAUGAACGCUGGCGGCGUGCCUAAUACAUGCGAGUCGAGCGAACAGACGAGGAGCUUGCUCCUCUGACGUUAGCGGCGGACGGGUGAGUAACACGUGGAUAACCUACCUAUAAGACUGGGAUAACUUCGGGAAACCGGAGCUAAUACCGGAUAAUAUAUUGAACCGCAUGGUUCAAUAGUGAAAGACGGUUUUGCUGUCACUUAUAGAUGGAUCCGCGCCGCAUUAGCUAGUUGGUAAGGUAACCGCUUACCAAGGCAACGAUGCGUAGCCGACCUGAGAGGGUGAUCGGCCACACUGGAACUGAGACACGGUCCAGACUCCUACGGGAGGCAGCAGUAGGGAAUCUUCCGCAAUGGGCGAAAGCCUGACGGAGCAACGCCGCGUGAGUGAUGAAGGUCUUCGGAUCGUAAAACUCUGUUAUUAGGGAAGAACAAAUGUGUAAGUAACUAUGCACGUCUUGACGGUACCUAAUCAGAAAGCCACGGCUAACUACGUG